GCCGAGGUGGUGAAACUGGUAGACACGCCAGCCUUAGGAGCUGGUGGAGUAAUCCGUGGAGGUUCGAGUCCUCUCCUCGGCA
rnacentral:tRNA from 1 species